AUGGGUGGCCUUGGCAAAACCACGUUAGCACAGCUCAUAUACAAUGAACCUGAAAUUCAGAAGCAUUUCCAGUUGCUACUUUGGGUAUGUGUCUCUGAUACUUUUGAUGUGAACUCCCUGGCUAAGAGUAUAGUUGAAGCAUCUCCCAACAAAAAUGAUGAUACAGACAAACCACCACUCGAGAGACUUAAAAAAUUGGUUAGUGGACAGAGGUUUCUCCUUGUACUGGAUGAUGUGUGGAACAGAGAGGUCUAUAAGUGGGAAAGGCUGAAGGUCUGUCUUCAACAUGGUGGGAUGGGUAGUGCAAUGUUAACAACAACUCGUGAUAAACAAGUCGCUGAAAUUAUGGGUGCAUGUAGAGCUUACAAUCUCAAUAUUUUGGAGGAUUGCUUCGUGAAGGAAAUUAUUGAGGCUAGAGCAUUCAGUUCGGAGAAAGAAAAGCCUGUCGAGCUAAGCAAGAUGGUUGAUGAGAUUAUAAGCCGAUGUUCUGGCUGUCCUUUAGCUGCAACUGCACUGGGCUCUGUACUUCAUACCAAGACUAGCAUCGAAGAAUGCAAGGCUAUAUCAUCUAGAAGCAACAUUUGCACUUUGGAAACUGGAAUUCUGCCAAUAUUAAAGCUUAGCUAUAAUGACUUGCCAUCACACAUGAAGCAAUGCUUUGCCUUUUGUGCUGUAUUUCCAAAGGAUUACAAGAUUGAUGUGGACAAGCUGAUCCGACUAUGGAUCGCAAAUGGCUUUAUCCCAGAGCACAAGGAAGAUAGUCUUGAAACCAUUGGAAAACGUAUUUUUAUUGAGCUUGCCUCAAGGUCAUUCUUUCUGGACAUAAAGGAAAGUAAAGACUUCAGGGGGUAUUAUUCCAUGAGGUAUUAUCCCAGAACUACAUGUAAAAUCCAUGAUCUCAUGCAUGAUGUUACAAUAUCUGUUAUGGAAAAGGAAUGUGUUGCUGGAACUAAGGAAUCAAAUCAAAACGAGUGGCUUCUAGAUAAUACUCGUCAUCUAUUUUUGUCGUGUAGAAAUAUAGAAGGUAUUUUGAAUCAUUCUAUGGAGAAACGGCCCCAUGCUAUCCAAACACUGUUAUGCAAUAAUGUUGUCUGGAGCUCACUACACCAUCUAUCAAAGUACAGCUCUAUGCACGCCUUGCAAAUCUGUGUGAGAACAGAAAUAUUUCUCCUGAAACCAAAGUAUCUGCAUCACCUGAGGUACCACUAG
rnacentral:rRNA from 1 species